rnacentral:rRNA from 1 species
UACAGAGACCUCAAGCGUUAUCCGGAAUCAUUGGGCGUAAAGCGUACCGAUAGGUUGUUUAUUAAGUCUUGGGUAAAAAGCCGGAAGCUCAACUUCCGCGUUUGCUUAAGAUACUAAUAGACUAGAGGGGCAAAGAGGUGCUUGGAACGAACGGUGUAGUAGUGAAAUGCGUUGAUAUCGUUCGGAACACCGAAAGCGAAGGCAGAGCACUGGGUGCCACCUGACACUGCUAGGACGAAAGCGUGGGGAGCGAAUGGG